GACGAGGGGUCCAAGCGUUGUUCGGAAUCAUUGGGCGUAAAGCGGGUGUAGGCGGCUCUAUAAGUCAGGAGUGAAAUCCCCGAGCUUAACUUGGGAAGUGCUUUUGAUACUGUAGAGCUUGAAUGUGGGAGAGGAUCGUGGAAUUCCAGGUGUAGUGGUGAAAUACGUAGAUAUCUGGAGGAACACCGGUGGCGAAGGCGGCGAUCUGGCCCAACAUUGACGCUGAGACCCGAAAGCAUGGGGAGCAAACAGG
rnacentral:rRNA from 1 species